rnacentral:rRNA from 1 species
ACUCAAAUGAAUUGACGGGGACCCGCACAAGCGGUGGAGCAUGUGGAUUAAUUCGAUACUAACCGAAGAACCUUACCCAGGUUUGACAUCGAUUGCAAGCCCUAGAGAUAGGGCCCUCUCCCACAAGGAGACAUGAAGACACUUGUUGCAUGGCUGUCGUCAGCUCGUGCCGUGAGGUGUACGGUUAAGUCCGCCAACGAGCGCAACCCUCGUCCUAUGUUGCCAGCGAUUAAAGUCGGGAACUCAUAGGAGACCGCCGGUGUAAAUCGGAGGAAGGUGAGGAUGACGUCAAGUCAGCAUGGCAGUUACGCCUGGGGCUUCACACAUGCUACAAUGGGCGAAACAAUGGGCAGCAAAACCGCGAGGUAGAGCCAAUCCCAAAAAUACGCCCCCAGUUCAGAUUGUAGUCUGCAACUCGACUACAUGAAGGCGGAAUCGCUAGUAAACGCAGGUCAGCUAUACUGCGUUGAAUACGUUCCCGGGUCUUGUACACACCGCCCGU